rnacentral:rRNA from 1 species
GAGUUUGAUCAUGGCUCAGAUUGAACGCUGGCGGCAGGCCUAACACAUGCAAGUCGAACGGUAACAGGAAACAGCUUGCUGUUUCGCUGACGAGUGGCGGACGGGUGAGUAAUGUCUGGGAAACUGCCUGAUGGAGGGGGAUAACUACUGGAAACGGUAGCUAAUACCGCAUAACGUCGCAAGACCAAAGAGGGGGACCUUCGGGCCUCUUGCCAUCAGAUGUGCCCAGAUGGGAUUAGCUAGUAGGUGGGGUAACGGCUCACCUAGGCGACGAUCCCUAGCUGGUCUGAGAGGAUGACCAGCCACACUGGAACUGAGACACGGUCCAGACUCCUACGGGAGGCAGCAGUGGGGAAUAUUGCACAAUGGGCGCAAGCCUGAUGCAGCCAUGCCGCGUGUAUGAAGAAGGCCUUCGGGUUGUAAAGUACUUUCAGCGGGGAGGAAGGGAGUAAAGUUAAUACCUUUGCUCAUUGACGUUACCCGCAGAAGAAGCACCGGCUAACUCCGUGCCAGCAGCCGCGGUAAUACGGAGGGUGCAAGCGUUAAUCGGAAUUACUGGGCGUAAAGCGCACGCAGGCGGUUUGUUAAGUCAGAUGUGAAAUCCCCGGGCUCAACCUGGGAACUGCAUCUGAUACUGGCAAGCUUGAGUCUCGUAGAGGGGGGUAGAAUUCCUGGUGUAGCGGUGAAAUGCGUAGAGAUCUGGAGGAAUACCGGUGGCGAAGGCGGCCCCCUGGACGAAGACUGACGCUCAGGUGCGAAAGCGUGGGGAGCAAACAGGAUUAGAUACCCUGGUAGUCCACGCCGUAAACGAUGUCGACUUGGAGGUUGUGCCCUUGAGGCGUGGCUUCCGGAGCUAACGCGUUAAGUCGACCGCCUGGGGAGUACGGCCGCAAGGUUAAAACUCAAAUGAAUUGACGGGGGCCCGCACAAGCGGUGGAGCAUGUGGUUUAAUUCGAUGCAACGCGAAGAACCUUACCUGGUCUUGACAUCCACGGAAGUUUUCAGAGAUGAGAAUGUGCCUUCGGGAACCGUGAGACAGGUGCUGCAUGGCUGUCGUCAGCUCGUGUUGUGAAAUGUUGGGUUAAGUCCCGCAACGAGCGCAACCCUUAUCCCUUGUUGCCAGCGGUCCGGCCGGGAACUCAAAGGAGACUGCCAGUGAUAAACUGGAGGAAGGUGGGGAUGACGUCAAGUCAUCAUGGCCCUUACGACCAGGGCUACACACGUGCUACAAUGGCGCAUACAAAGAGAAGCGACCUCGCGAGAGCAAGCGGACCUCAUAAAGUGCGUCGUAGUCCGGAUUGGAGUCUGCAACUCGACUCCAUGAAGUCGGAAUCGCUAGUAAUCGUGGAUCAGAAUGCCACGGUGAAUACGUUCCCGGGCCUUGUACACACCGCCCGUCACACCAUGGGAGUGGGUUGCAAAAGAAGUAGGUAGCUUAACCUUCGGGAGGGCGCUUACCACUUUGUGAUUCAUGACUGGGGUGAAGUCGUAACAAGGUAACCGUAGGGGAACCUGCGGUUG